rnacentral:rRNA from 1 species
UACGGGGGGGCAAGCGUUGGUCGGAAUUACUGGGCGUAAAGGGCUCGUAGGCGGCCAACUAAGUCAGACGUGAAAUCCCUCGGCUUAACCGGGAACUGCGUCUGAUACUGGAUGGCUUGAAUCCGGGAGAGGGAUGCGGAAUUCCAGGUGUAGCGGUGAAAUGCGUAGAUAUCUGGAGGAACACCGGUGGCGAAGGCGGCAUCCUGGACCAUUACUGACACUGAAUAGCGAAAGCCAGGGGAGCAAACGGG